rnacentral:rRNA from 1 species
GGGAUUGCCCUAGUAACGGCGAGUGAAGCGGCAACAGCUCAAAUUUGAAAUCUGGCCUAGCCCGAGUUGUAAUUUGUAGAGGAUGCUUUUGGUGCGGUGCCUUCCGAGUUCCCUGGAACGGGACGCCUUAGAGGGUGAGAGCCCCGUACGGUUGGUCGCCAAGCCUUUGUAAAGCUCCUUCGACGAGUCGAGUAGUUUGGGAAUGCUGCUCUAAAUGGGAGGUAAAUUUCUUCUAAAGCUAAAUACCGGCCAGAGACCGAUAGCGCACAAGUAGAGUGAUCGAAAGAUGAAAAGCACUUUGAAAAGAGGGUUAAAUAGCACGUGAAAUUGUUGAAAGGGAAGCGCUUGUGACCAGACUUUUGCCUUGCGGAUCAUCCGGUGUUCUCACCGGUGCACCUCGCUUGGCCGAGGCCAGCAUCGAUUUUCGCGGGGGGAUAAAGUCUUCGGGAAUGUGGCUCUUCGGAGUGUUAUAGCCCGUGGUAAUACCCCCGCGGGGAUCGAGGUUCGCGCUCUGCAAGGAUGCUGGCAUAAUGGUCAUCAGCGA